rnacentral:tRNA from 1 species
UAUAGCUCACGUGGUAGAGCGUAUGCUUAGCAUGCACAAGAUCCUGGGUUCAAUCCCCUGUA